GGGCGAAUGGUUUAGUGGUAUAAUACUCCCUUAGCAUGGUUUAAACUAACUAAGUUGUUUGGGAGUGGUCCAGGGUUCGAUUCCCUGUUUGUCCA